CAGAGGGUGCGAGCGUUAAUCGGAAUUACUGGGCGUAAAGCGUGCGUAGACGGUUAUUUAAGUCAGGUGUGAAAGCCCCGGGCUCAACCUGGGAAUUGCAUUUGAGACUGAAUAGCUAGGGUGCGGAAGAGGGAAGCGGAAUUUCCGGUGUAGCGGUGAAAUGCGUAGAUAUCGGAAGGAACACCAGUGGCGAAAGCGGCUUCCUGGUCCAGCACCGACGUUCAGGCACGAAAGCGUGGGGGGCAAACAGGAUUAGAUACCCUGGUAGUCCACGCCAUAAACGAUGAGAACUAGACGUUGAGAGGGUAAGCCUCCCAGUGUCGAAGCUAACGCGAUAAGUUCUCCGCCUGGGGAGUACGGCCGCAAGGUUG
rnacentral:rRNA from 1 species